AGGUGGCUUGUCUCCCUUGCCCUUAGGAGGCUGAUCAACUGGCUUGGGCUCUGGCUUGGGCUCUGGGAAUGGCUUGUGCUCAUCAAGUGGGGUUGGUGGCUUGGGUUUUGUGGGUGGCUUCGGCUUCUUUCCCUGAGGAGGCAAUUUCCCAUCCAAUGGCUCCUCUAGCAAACGAGUUCUGGUUUCUUGUUUGUGAUGAGGCGGUUUCUCACCCUUUGGAGGCUGAUCAACUGGCUUUGGUUCUGGCUUGGGCUCUGGCUUGGGCUCUGGGAAUGGCUUGUGCUCAUCAAGUGGGGUUGGUGGCUUGGGUUUUGUGGGUGGCUCCGGCUUCUUUCCCUGAGGAGGCAAUUUCCCAUCCAAUGGCUCCUCUAGCAAACGAGUUCUGGUUUCUUGUAUGUGAUGAGGCGGCUUCUCACCCUUUGGAGGCUGAUCAACUGGCUUUGGUUCUGGCUUGGGCUCGGGCUUGGGCUCUGGCUUGGGCUCUGGGAAUGGCUUGUGCUCAUCAAGUGGGGUUGGUGGCUUGGGUUUUGUGGGUGGCUUCGGCUUCUUUCCCUGAGGAGGCAAUUUCCCAUCCAAUGGCUCCUCUAGCAAACGAGUUCUGGUUUCUUGUUUGUGAUGAGGCGGCUUCUCACCCUUUGGAGGCUCGUCGUUGCCCGGGUUUCCUUUGUGCUCUGGUGGUGGCUUCUCUCCUUUUCUUGGUGGCUCAUCUCUUGGGUGUCCUGGUUCAUGCUCAGGUGGUGGUUUCUCUCCUUUUCUCGGUGGCUCAUCUCCCGGGUGCUCAGGUGGUGGCUUCUCAUCCUUGUGAGGCUCAUCACCUGGUUUCUCCUUUGGUGGUGGCUUUUGUCCCUUAGGAGGCUCAUUGUUCUCUGGUGGAGGCUUUUUUCCCUUUGGAGGCUCAUUGUUCUCUGGUGGAGGCUUCUUUCCCUUUGGAG
rnacentral:lncRNA from 1 species